rnacentral:rRNA from 1 species
GACCUCGGAUCAGGUAGGAAUACCCGCUGAACUUAAGCAUAUCAAUAAGCGGAGGAAAAGAAACCAACAGGGAUUGCCUCAGUAACGGCGAGUGAAGCGGCAACAGCUCAAAUUUGAAAUCUGGCCGUAAGGUCCGAGUUGUAAUUUGUAGAGGAUGUUUUGGGUACCGCCCCGGUUUAAAUUUCUUGGAACAGAAUGUCAAAGAGGGUGAGAAUCCCGUCUUGGACCGGGGUAGGGCCCGUGUAAAACUCCUUCGACGAGUCGACUUGUUUGGGAAUGCAGGUCAAAAUGGGUGGUAAAUUUCAUCUAAAGCUAAAUAUUGGCCAGAGACCGAUAGCGCACAAGUAGAGUGAUCGAAAGAUGAAAAGCACUUUGGAAAGAGAGUUAAACAGUACGUGAAAUUGUUGAAAGGGAAGGGCAUUUGAUCAGACAUGGUGUUUUGUGCCCUCU